ACGCUGGCGGCAGGCUUAACACAUGCAAGUCGAACGGUAACAGGAGAAAGCUUGCUUUCUUGCUGACGAGUGGCGGACGGGUGAGUAAUGCUUGGGAAUCUGGCUUAUGGAGGGGGAUAACUACUGGAAACGGUAGCUAAUACCGCGUAAUAUCGGAAGAUUAAAGGGUGGGACUUUCGGGCCACCUGCCAUAAGAUGAGCCCAAGUGGGAUUAGGUAGUUGGUGGGGUAAAGGCCUACCAAGCCUGCGAUCUCUAGCUGGUCUGAGAGGAUGGCCAGCCACACUGGAACUGAGACACGGUCCAGACUCCUACGGGAGGCAGCAGUGGGGAAUAUUGCACAAUGGGGGGAACCCUGAUGCAGCCAUGCCGCGUGAAUGAAGAAGGCCUUCGGGUUGUAAAGUUCUUUCGGUGAUGAGGAAGGUGUUUUGUUUAAUAGGCAAAGCAAUUGACGUUAGUCACAGAAGAAGCACCGGCUAACUCCGUGCCAGCAGCCGCGGUAAUACGGAGGGUGCGAGCGUUAAUCGGAAUAACUGGGCGUAAAGGGCACGCAGGCGGAUUGUUAAGUGAGAUGUGAAAGCCCCGAGCUUAACUUGGGAAUUGCAUUUCAGACUGGCAAUCUAGAGUAUUUUAGGGAGGGGUAGAAUUCCACGUGUAGCGGUGAAAUGCGUAGAGAUGUGGAGGAAUACCGAAGGCGAAGGCAGCCCCUUGGGAAUAUACUGACGCUCAUGUGCGAAAGCGUGGGGAGCAAACAGGAUUAGAUACCCUGGUAGUCCACGCUGUAAACGAUGUUGAUUUGGGGAUUGGGCUUUAAGCUUGGUGCCCGUAGCUAACGUGAUAAAUACNACCGACCUGGGGAGU
rnacentral:rRNA from 1 species